rnacentral:rRNA from 1 species
UACGGGGGGGGGCAAGCGUUGUUCGGAAUUACUGGGCGUAAAGGGCUCGUAGGUGGCCAACUAAGUCAGACGUGAAAUCCCUCGGCUUAACCGGGGAACUGCGUCUGAUACUGGAUGGCUUGAGUUCGGGAGAGGGAUGCGGAAUUCCAGGUGUAGCGGUGAAAUGCGUAGAUAUCAGGAGGAACACCAAUAGCGAAGGCAGCUCGCUGGGACGGUACUGACGCUAAGGCGCGAAAGCGUGGGGAGCGAACAGG